rnacentral:lncRNA from 1 species
CAAUGAGCUGUUAAUAGACAAGCUGUUAGAGAGAAAAAGAACUAAAUAGUUUACAAGCUUACAUUUGAAGGCCUGUGAAUUGCAUUAGCUGAGCCAGCUGAGCGAGAGCCAAGGCAAUCUCCCCACGAUUGUAGAAAAUGGCAUUGAGGCAUGUGGAGGCAAAGAAAGAAUGACAGUGACCAGGUUUACAAUAUGCAAAGCUGAAAUAAUUACUGCUUUCUGUGGCAUAGAAUUUUUAGCUGAACUACAAUAUGGAAUCAAAGCAUUCUGUUAAAUGCACAAGUGUGUUUGUGUCUUCAUUUUUUUAAACUUUCUCUCUUCUAUGCAAAUAUUUAUUUACAGCGUUAAUAAAAACUUCUUGAAGCUGAUUUUUAUAAUUUCCUCAUUGAACCCCCUCCUACCUCUCAUUCUCUGCAGAGGCCACUCUCAGUAUGAGAAAUGACCACAGUAUUUUUCAUUACUCUCUGGGUUUUUUGGGGCCUAGCAGUUAUGAAUAUGAAUGUGAACCACUUUCAAUACAAUUACUUGGACAAUAAUUUGGGAUCUGUGGAGCUGGAAUGUGCAACUGAAAAUAUUUGUAACCCUUUAGUUACCACCCAAGCGAUUGGCAUAGUUCUUUUUAAUAUUUCAUUCUGUCCUUUAACUUUACCAGAGGGGGAAAAAAUUGAAAAGCAGCAGAACAAGACAAAUUAAUAAUGGUGAAAUAGAAAAAUUGAAAAGUAAAGAAUGGAACCAUCAAAUCAUUCAUUUUAAGACAUUCUGUGGCAGAAAAUAAUGAAGGAAAGAACAGUUAAAAACCAGCCACUAUCGAACAAUCACAGUUCAAAAUUUCUACCUUUGAGAAAAGCUCAGAAACUUUCAAGGGGACCAUACCUUCAAACAAAAGGAUUGGUGUGGAUCAAAUACAUUUUCAGGCCAGCCCUGAAGAUCAAACCUGGGUGGAGGUUCAGAUCAGCAUUGCCAAUCUGGAUUUGUUCUCCAGGAAUACACAGAUGCAUCUUCCUGCUGUGCUUUUGGUGGCUGCAGCACAGAUAGCCUCUCAAACAGAUCUUCACAAGGGGUAUGUUCACAUCCAGACAUGCUGAAACUAUGCCAGCAUUUUAUCUGGUGUCUCAAAUUUUAAAAUAUGGAGUAACAGGUUUUGAUUCAUUUUUAUUUAAAUACAUACUUGAGAUCUAAAAAGAUUGUAUUAUUUUAAUUUUGUUAUUGCAAAAGCAAAUCUAUUACAGUUAGUUAAUGCAAACUGCUUUGAAAAGAGCUGUGGAAUAUCCUUGUAAAUAUUGUGUGGAAGCAACUAAUUAAAAUAGUCAAAAUAAAAAGUAAAAAUCACAUGACUUUAAGAAAGCA